ensembl:lncRNA
CCUUCACCUUUCCUCAUACGAGAGGUGCUCCAGCCCUCUGACCAUCUUAGUGGCCCUCCUCUGGACCCACUCCAAGAACUCCCCGUCUUGAGGAGAAGAGAGAAUAAAGGUAAGGCAGACGCUGAGAAGGACAAGAGCAAAAGCAGUGAAGAACAGGCACAGGUAAGAAAGAAGAGCAGAAGAGGAGGAGAAGAAAAAGAGAGGAUGAAGGUAAGAAAAACAAGCGGGCAGGGAGAAGAGCUGAAGAAGGGAUGAGUGGGUGCAGGUAAGACAGAACAGCAGAAGUGGAGAGGAGCUGAAGAGGAGAAGUAUGAAAAGUAGAGCAAAAGUACAGGAGGUGGAAAGAGAGGAAAGAGGCAAGAGAGAAGAGAGGAAGAGCAGAGAAAGAACAGAGCAGUAGAGAAGAGCGGACAGUGCUGUGAAAAGAAGAACAGUGCCAGAGAGCAGGUGAAGAAGAAAGGAAGAGCAGAAGAGGAGUGUAUAUGAAGAAGAGGUGUGAGGGCACAAGGAAGAAAGAUCAGAAGAGAAGAGGAGUGCAGUAAGAAGAAGGAGGAGAGAAGAUAACGGGAAAAAGAACAGCAGAAGGGUGCAGAUGCGGAAGAUGAGAGAUGACAGCGGCAGAGCAGGACAGGGCAGAGCUCCGACAGCGGGGAUUCGGUCUGGGGCAGGAGCAGCAAACCCUGCCCGACUGUGGCAGAGCUGUUCUGAUGGGCAGCUCCCAAUUAGGAGCUUCUUGGCUCGUUAAUUACCCGCGGCAGCGGUGGGAGGGAAGAGGCGGCGUGCCGGGUGAUGGCACCUGUCUGUCACACUGCGGGGAAGUGCUGACAGCCCUUGAAAAUGUCACCAGGAGCUGAAGGGUCCUGUCCUGAGCAUCCGAAGUGAGGACACGGCGUCGGAAACGGCUCUAAUAGGAAACGCUCCAAACCGCGAGGGUGUGAAGGAGGACCGGCCGGGGGGGUGAGGAGGUGGGGGGGGGAGAGGGGGUGUCCGUCCCCUGCAGGAGCCGAGCUGCAGCCGCCUCCGUGCUCCGGACCGCUAGAGGGAUUCCUAACAACCGUGCAGGCAUUUGGAGAGACGCAACGGCUGAAAAGCAGAUAAAUGAGCAGUUCUGUGCAAUGCUACGUGGCGUUCAGCCUCAGAAAGGUCUGCAACCAACUCACCUCUCAACCCGAGGGCGCGCUGUGCGCUCCCUCUGGCUUUGUCAGCGCUGCGCACAGCUCAGCUCACACUUCACGCUUUUCUCGUGCUCCCGAACAAGGAGUGACAGCAGCCAAGAAGUCAGAGCUGUCUCAGCCUCAAAAGGAGCUCUCUCUGCAUGGGAUGGGCAAAGCGCAG